GAUUAGCUCAGUUGGUUAGAGCGUGGUGCUAAUAGAGCUCGUCUCUGUCACGCCAAGGUCGCGAGUUCGACGUACGUCCCAUCAAUACG